GGCCUUGACAUGCAGAGAACUUCCCAGAGAUGGAUUGGUGCCUUCGGGAACUCUGACACAGGUGCUGCAUGGCUGUCGUCAGCUCGUGUCGUGAGAUGUUGGGUUAAGUCCCGUAACGAGCGCAACCCUUGUCCUUAGUUACCAGCACGUUAUGGUGGGCACUCUAAGGAGACUGCCGGUGACAAACCGGAGGAAGGUGGGGAUGGCGUCAAGUCAUCAUGGCCCUUACGGCCUGGGCUACACACGUGCUACAAUGGUCGGUACAAAGGGUUGCCAAGCCGCGAGGUGGAGCUAAUCCCAUAAAACCGAUCGUAGUCCGGAUCGCAGUCUGCAACUCGACUGCGUGAAGUCGGAAUCGCUAGUAAUCGUGAAUCAGAAUGUCACGGUGAAUACGUUCCCGGGCCUU
rnacentral:rRNA from 1 species